UGUCCCUUCGGGGACAUCCAAAAUAAAUUGAAACGAUACAAAGAAGAUUAGCAUGACCCCUAUGCAAGGAUGACAUACAUAAAUUGAGAAAUGGUCCAAAUUAAA